rnacentral:rRNA from 1 species
CGGCUAACUAUGUGCCCCCAGCCGCGGUAAUACAUAGGGUGCAAGCGUUGUCCGGAAUUAUUGGGCGUAAAGAGCUCGUAGGUCGUUUGUUACGUCGGAUGUGAAAACCUGAGGCUCAACCUCAGGCCUGCAUUCGAUACGGGCAAACUAGAGUUUGGUAGGGGAGACUGGAAUUCCUGGUGUAGCGGUGGAAUGCGCAGAUAUCAGGAGGAACACCAAUGGCGAAGGCAGGUCUCUGGGCCAAUACUGACACUGAGGAGCGAAAGUCUGGGGAGCGAACAGGAUUAGAUACCCUGGUAGUCCAGACCGUAAACGGUGGGCACUAGUUGUGGGAACCUUCCACGGUUUCUGCGACGCAGCUAACGCAUUAAGUGCCCCGCCUGGGGAGUACGAUCGCAAGAUUAAAACUC